GCUGUAGGCCUCCAGUACGUCCUUCAGGUUGAAGGUGAAGCGGUAUGAACCCAGUCUGGACUCCUCUGAGAAUGCUGGAGAGCUGGUAAACUUAUAGAGGAAGCUGGGAUGCAUGGCGACCUCAUCCUCUGUGACGUUUCUGAAUUUCUGUUGCAGGAGCCUCGUCUCAGCUGACUUCACCUCCUCAUGGCCCACAGCCAGACUCCACCACAACAGGACGCCUGCAUGUGGAUCAUCUGAGCCUCCGUAUGGAACUCUGAAGCCUUCGUCCUUCCUGAUGCCACUCAACCCGUCUUGAUCUGUGUCGUGUUUCAGACGAGUCACAUGGAGCUCCGGCUUUGUUUUGGACUCCACCUGCUACUGUCUGGUCUGACUCUUCGGCUUCAUCUUCAGCCCAAAUCCAUUUCCCUCUGGACACAUUGCCUGGUUCAUCUCUGCCAUCUCCACAUAACCCAAGCCCCUUAUUCCUUCUCCUGUCAUUGUAGCCUCUGCCUUCAGCCCCCAGACAGCCAAGCCUUCAGCUCCCAGUUUACCCCAGUAAAUGUCACAGUAGCAGUGCCUCAGUCAGAGCAGUCACAGGUCAGGUUUUCUUGUGUUUUUAGCCUACAGAGGAUUAUUGCCCUUAGCUUGAAUUUUGUUUAUAGACUACUGUUUGCUUUUUAGUCACCGUAUUUCUGUAGCCUUAGCUUAGCUUUAGUCUCAGAAUUAGUUAGCCUUUUUGUUCUUAUAGUCGUCAUAGCUUAGUGACCCCUUUGUUCCAGGUGAGAGUUAUCUUGUGGUACUGUAGCUCUUUGUUACUUUCAGUAUUUCCUGUAUUGUUGUAUCCUAUUUGAGAGUUUCCCUAGUUAAUGUAGCUGAACUUUUUGAAAUGCACCUUAGUUUUAUUAUUGUGUCCUAGUGGGUUUUUCCAUCUUGCAUUCCUUCCAGGUGUUACCUGCAGUAUGUUUACCUUAGUUUAGUCUGCCAACCUCUAGGGGCAGUGUAGUUUUCCCCAGCUUAGUUUCCUUAGGUCCCCAGUUUAGUUUCUGUGGGUCGAUAGCUGGGAUUUGUACUUCUGUUUGAGUUUGUUGUAAAUAAAUCAUUAAUACUG